rnacentral:misc_RNA from 1 species
AACGCACAUUGCGCCCUAUGGUAUUCCAUAGGGCAUGCCUGUUCGAGCGUCAUUUGUACCUUCAAGCUCUGCUUGGUGUUGGGUGUUUGUCUCGCCUUUGCGUGUAGACUCGCCUCAAAACAAUUGGCAGCCGGCGUAUUGAUUUCGGAGCGCAGUACAUCUCGCGCUUUGCACUCAUAACGACGACGUCCAAAAGUACAUUUUUACACUCUUGACCUCGGAUCAGGUAGGGAUACCCGCUGAACUUAA